rnacentral:rRNA from 2 species
UACGGAGGACCCGAGCGUUAUCCGGAUUUAUUGGGUUUAAAGGGUGCGUAGGCGGAUUAGUAAGUUAGAGGUGAAAGCUCGAUGCUCAACAUCGAAAUUGCCUCUGAUACUGUUAGUCUAGAGUAUAGUUGCGGAAGGCGGAAUGUGUGGUGUAGCGGUGAAAUGCUUAGAUAUCACACAGAACACCGAUUGCGAAGGCAGCUUUCCAAGCUAUUACUGACGCUGAUGCACGAAAGCGUGGGGAGCGAACAGG